GGAGGGCUUACAUAGGAGAUCCCACCUCGCCUCACCGCAGCUCCAGCCCGCGUGGGCCCGCGUUUCCUGCGGUGAUGCGGUCUUAGGAAGUUAGCAUUAAGGACACCCCUGAUGUCUCAGCCACCCAGCCCCAGGAUUACAGGCUUUGGGACCUCUAUCAAGCUGUUUUUGUCACCUGCUCUGGAGCUCCCUACUCCCUUUGCUUUCCAUCCAAAGGGUAGCACUCGGGAUUAAAGAUGAAAACCCUACAACCCCACACCAAGGAUCAGAGCCACUUCAGGUCACAUUUCAGCCAGAGUCAUGUGUCAAAUCAGUUAUCCUGCAAUGGCACUCACACUGUUUCAGGUCUAGGGAAGUCCGAGUUUCUGCAGCCUGGUCCUAUCUGAUUUCCUGGUGCCCACAGCGGGAGAGUGAAUAAUUUAUCUCCCAUCCUCCAUCUCCCUUCCUGUUCAGGUUUCAUCUCUGUUUCACCCCUAUGCUGAUGUUUCUGUGGAACAGCAGAGCCAGCGUCAGCAGUACAUGGAGCAAGAGAAAUAAUGUGUGAACAGUAUGAAUGAUAAGAUCUCCAGACAGGUCCCACACAGUAGCACAAAGAGGCCCUAAUUGAAUUUGGAGCUGUGUUGUACCGAGCGCCACGGAAAUACACAGUGGGACAGAGUUUCUGGAGAACACACAAUCUGCUUGAGAACGUGUCCCUGCGAGAAGGAAUUUAUUUGAUCUCCCUUGAUGUUUUAAGAUAUGCAAAUAAACAAAACGGGUGCCAAUGUUAGCAGGAAAACCUAUUUUAUCUUAUGAAUUUUUAAAUAUCGUGUUUCCAUUUCUUUGUUGUUCCUAUGUUUCUUCACAUUGCCUAACAUCUUUUUUUUUAAAGUGUGAUGCAGAUUGUCAAGCAUCGCUUCAGUUACAGAUUAUUAGGAGAUUCAUUUCAGAAGUUGCAGGUGUAUACUUCUCUUUUUUUUCUUUUAAUGAAAAUAUAACAUUGUCUGUUGUUAUCUGUAUGUGUAUACACACAUUUUCAAUAAAUUCAGCAAGGUAUUUAAUACUUUUGUCUUUUUUUUCAUGGUUCUGUUACAGAAGCUUCAUUCCCCGAAAGACUUAUUUGCUUCAAUGCUUUUUCUUUUACCUAAGGCACUCUUCAUUGGCUGCCCUGUAUAUUCAGUGCUGUGGAAGAAAACCAAACACAUCCAAAACUAAUUCAUAAAAUUCAGCUAAUUCAUAUUUCCAAGCUGGCUCAGCAAACUUCGUUAUGCUGUGACAGCCGUGGGUAGCUUUGCAUAAAGCUUCCAGCAGCACAGCCCGCCUCUGCCUUGGGCUUUCCAUUCUAAUGGAUGCUGGUGGGCAAGUUACAAACCACCAACGCCAGCAAAGCUCCUGCUGCUCCCUACCUCAUAUUCUCCCACAUUUCAUAAAAUCAUUAAG